UAGAGGAUAAUAUCGUUAUGUACUUGUAUCCGGUGUUAACUUUUUCAUUUGGAAAAUCGAAAGAUUUGACCCCACGCUUAUAUUUUUCAGAAAAGAUAUCCACUGAACAAAUCAUCUGAAAACUAAGGCUAAUAGGAGAGGAUGAAGAAUACUUCUGUUAAAAGGUCAAUCCAACUUGAACUUGAAGUGCAAGUGGGUCUUCAAAAAUGUGGACCACUCAAGGACUUUUCUGUUGGUUGAUGAUGGACUACAAACUGAAUAUUUAACAAAGAAAUCCACUUUGGUGCUUAUUGGCUACUAAUGAUGUGAACUUGUGCAUUUAUUAUACCAAGUACUUUUACAUUUCCUUGAUGAUACUAGACUUGCUUAUACCGAAUUCAGGUUUAGUUGAUUGAUUGCAGUUCUAAGUUCCUCUCGCAACAUUAUAUCUCUCAUGUAUGAGACAUCAUUAAAUGCAGACAUUUUCUCUGUCCUCCUGUUGUGACAUGAGAGCUCGGACUUAGUUGUAAAAAUAUUUAUGAUGCAAGAGAAAAUAAAUGGCCAAGCCAAUGUAUGUAAAUGUUGAUAAUAAUAUUAAAUAUUCUUUGAUAACUAG